UAGCUAAUCCUGGUCGGACAUCAGGAGGUUAGUGCAAUGGCAUAAGCUAGCUUGACUGCGAGCGUGACGGCGCGAGCAGGUGCGAAAGCAGGUCAUAGUGAUCCGGUGGUUCUGAAUGGAAGGGCCAUCGCUCAACGGAUAAAAGGUACUCCGGGGAUAACAGGCUGAUACCGCCCAAGAGUUCAUAUCGACGGCGGUGUUUGGCACCUCGAUGUCGGCUCAUCACAUCCUGGGGCUGAAGUAGGUCCCAAGGGUAUGGCUGUUCGCCAUUUAAAGUGGUACGCGAGCUGGGUUUAGAACGUCGUGAGACAGUUCGGUCCCUAUCUGCCGUGGGCGCUGGAGAAUUGAGGGGGGCUGCUCCUAGUACGAGAGGACCGGAGUGGACGCAUCACUGGUGUUCGGGUUGUCAUGCCAAUGGCACUGCCCGGUAGCUAAAUGCGGAAGAGAUAAGUGCUGAAAGCAUCUAAGCACGAAACUUGCCCCGAGAUGAGUUCUCCCUGAGACUUUAAGUCUCCUGAAGGAACGUUAAAGACGAUGACGUUGAUAGGCCGGGUGUGUAAGCGCAGCGAUGCGUUGAGCUAACCGGUACUAAUGAACCGUGAGGCUUAACCUU
rnacentral:rRNA from 1 species